CCUCAAUAUAAACUCAAGCCUAUUCAGAACUAUUUAAGAAUUGCAAUACAAACUUAAGUGGCAUUAGCAACAUAUCAGAUGUGCAGAACCCUCAGACUGGAUGCAGAGUGACAGAAACAAGUUUACUGAAACAUUGGUGGAAUGACAUACCCAGAUUGAGAUUAGAAAGUUGUGCUGGCCGAAUGUAAGGUUGAUGGAGAACAACUUGCUUCAGUUAAAUGUAUUUGCAGUUUUAAGAGUUUUGUAACAGAAGGCAGCUUCCAAAUCACUACCAGUACACCCAAAGCAAUGGUCUCUGACUAUAACAUAGAUGUAAACAAGCAUUUUUGGUACUUGAUAAUUUAGACUUCUCAAAAGGAUUACAAAUAACCAGCAUUAUUUUCCACUUUAAAGUUAAGAGCGAGAACUGGACGCUUCAGUUCAAGCCAGAAGCCACCACACCCAAUGUGACAGAUGGGUGUGGUUUGGGUUAAGCAGGCCAAACUGGAACUGUGAUGGGCUCCCCAGCCAUGAACAGAAUUGAAAUUUUAACAUGUAGAACACUAUUCUUAAACCGGUAGGUAAGGUAGUUAGGUAGGUAGGUAAGUAGGUAGGUAGGUAGGAAGUAAGGUAGGUAAGUAGCCUGAUCCAAGGUGGUUUGCAACAGGAGCAGUAUCACCAUGCAAAUAUAUGGUAAAAGAGUAAGAAAUGGGUUGCCAAAUUCAUGUUUGGGUUAAAAGCGGGUCCUGGGCCUGAAAAGGUUGAAGAUGCCUGUAAUCUAAAGUCUGUAUUUGCUCCUCACAAACUUACCAAGACUACAAAAUCAGCAGGUACUCUUAAUCCAGCGUGGUUUGGGGGCUCAUCCACUUAGCACGCAGAGUUGAUCUGGUGCAUAGUUUCCCCCCCUUCAAGCAGUAAGGUCUCGUAACAACUUUUCCAAAUAAACUGAAUGGCUACAAA